rnacentral:misc_RNA from 1 species
GAUGAAGAACGCAGCGAAAUGCGAUAAGUAAUGUGAAUUGCAGAGUUCAGUGAAUCAUCGAAUCUUUGAACGCACAUUGCGCCCGCCAGUAUUCUGGCGGGCAUGCCUGUUCGAGCGUCAUUUCAACCCUCAAGCACAGCUUGGUGUUGGGACUCGCGUUAAUUCGCGUUCCCCAAAUUGAUUGGCGGUCACGUCGAGCUUCCAUAGCGUAGUAGUAAAACCCUCGUUACUGGUAAUCGUCGCGGCCACGCCGUUAAACCCCAACUUCUGAAUGUUGACCUCGGAUCAGGUAGGAAUACCCGCUGAACUUAAGCAUAUCAAUAAGCGGAGGA